UGGGGAAUUUUGGACAAUGGGCGAAAGCCUGAUCCAGCAAUGCUGCGUGUGUGAAGAAGGCCUUCGGGUUGUAAAGCACUUUUGUCCGGAAAGAAAUCCUUGGCUCUAAUACAGUCGGGGGAUGACGGUACCGGAAGAAUAAGCACCGGCUAACUACGUGCCAGCAGCCGCGGUAAUACGUAGGGUGCAAGCGUUAAUCGGAAUUACUGGGCGUAAAGCGUGCGCAGGCGGUUUGCUAAGACCGAUGUGAAAUCCCCGGGCUCAACCUGGGAACUGCAUUGGUGACUGGCAGGCUAGAGUAUGGCAGAGGGGGGUAGAAUUCCACGUGUAGCAGGUGAAAUGCGUAGAGUGUGGAGGAAUACCGAUGGCGAAGGCAGCCCCUGGGCCAAUACUGACGCUCAUGCACGAAAGCGUGGGGAGCAAACAGGAUUAGAUACCCUGGUAGUCCACGCCCUAAACGAUGUCAACUAGUUGUUGGGGAUUCAUUUCCUUAGUAACGUAGCUAACGCGUGAAGUUGGACCGCCUGGGGAGUACGGUCGCAAGNUUAAAACUCAAAUGAAUUGACGGGGUCAUAGCUGUUUCCUG
rnacentral:rRNA from 1 species